AACGCACCUUGCGCCCUUUGGUAUUCCGAAGGGCAUGCCUGUUUGAGUGUCAUUAAAUUAUCAACCUUGUUCGCUUUUCGGAGCUUGAGCUAGGCUUGGAUGUGAGGGCUUUUUGCUGGCUUCCUUCAGUGGAUUGGUCUGCUCCCUUUAAAUGCAUUAGUGGGAUCUCUUUUCGUGGACCGUCACUUGGUGUGAUAAUUAUCUACGCCAUUGACUUGCUUAACGAGAAUCUGCUUAUAACCGUCUCGCAAAGGGACAACAAACUUUAUUGACAAUUUGACCUCAAAUCAGGUAGGACUACCCGCUGAACUUAA
rnacentral:rRNA from 1 species